rnacentral:rRNA from 1 species
ACGCUCGACACCUACUGGAGGCAGCAGUGGGGAAUAUUGCACAAUGGAGGAAACUCUGAUGCAGCGACGCCGCGUGGAGGAAGAAGGUCUUCGGAUUGUAAACUCCUGUUGUUGAGGACGAUAAUGACGGUACUCAACAAGGAAGUGACGGCUAACUACGUGCCAGCAGUCGCGGUAAUCUGAGCGGGCUGGCAAGGC